ensembl:misc_RNA Metazoa_SRP Metazoan signal recognition particle RNA
GCCGGGCAGGGUGGCACGUGCCUGUAGUCCCAGCUACUCGGCAGGCUGAGGUGGGAGGAUCACUUGAGCCCAGUAGUUCUGGGCUGUAGUGUGCUAUGCCAAUCGGGUGUCCACACUAAGUUCAGCAUCAGUACGGUGACCUCCCGGGAGUGAGGGGCCACCAGGUUGCCUAAGGAGGGAUGAACCGGCCCAGGUCAGAAACAGAGCAGGUCAAAACUCCUGUGCAUCAGUAGUGGGAUCGAACCUGUGAAUAGCCAAUGCACUCCAGCCUCAGCAACAUAGCGAGACCCCAUCUCUU